rnacentral:rRNA from 1 species
CCUACGGGCGGCAGCAGUGGGGAAUAUUGCACAAUGGAGGAAACCCUGAUGCAGCGACGCCGCGUGAGUGAAGAAGUAUUUCGGUAUGUAAAGCUCUAUCAGCAGGGAAGAAAAUGAAGGUACCUGAUUAAGAAGCCCCGGCUAACAACGUGCCAGCAGCCGCGGUAAUACGUAGGGCGCAAGCGUUAUCCGGAUUUAGUGGGCGUAAAGGGAGCGUAGACGGUAGCACAAGUAUGGAGUGAAAGGCCGGGGCUCAACCCCGGAAGUGCAUUGGAAACUGGGCAGCUAGAGUGCAGGAGAGGUGAGUGGAAUUCCAAGUGUAGCGGUGAAAUGCGUAGAUAUUAGGAGGAACACCAGUGGCGAAGGCGGCUUUCUGGACUGUAACUGACGUUGAGGCUCGAAAGCGUGGGGAGCAAACAGGAUUAGAUACCCCAGUAGUC